rnacentral:rRNA from 1 species
UACGUAGGGGGCUAGCGUUGUCCGGAAUCAUUGGGCGUAAAGCGCGCGUAGGCGGCCCGGUAAGUCCGUUGUGAAAGUCAAAGGCUCAACCUUUGAAUGCCGAUGGAUACUGCCGGGCUAGAAUCCGGAGGAGGCGAGUGGAAUUCCUGGUGUAGCGGUGGAAUGCGCAGAUAUCAGGAGGAACACCAAUAGCGAAGGCAGCUCGCUGGGACGGUAUUGACGCUAAGGCGCGAAAGCGUGGGGAGCAAACAGG